AGAGUUUGAUCCUGGCUCAGGACGAACGCUGGCGGCGUGCUUAACACAUGCAAGUCGAACGGAAAGGCCCUUCGGGGUACUCGAGUGGCGAACGGGUGAGUAACACGUGGGUGAUCUGCCCUGCACUUUGGGAUAAGCCUGGGAAACUGGGUCUAAUACCGGAUAGGACUACGGCCUGCAUGGGUUGUGGUGGAAAGCUUUUGCGGUGUGGGAUGGGCCCGCGGCCUAUCAGCUUGUUGGUGAGGUUACGGCUCACCAAGGCGACGACGGGUAGCCGGCCUGAGAGGGUGUCCGGCCACACUGGGACUGAGAUACGGCCCAGACUCCUACGGGAGGCAGCAGUGGGGAAUAUUGCACAAUGGGCGCAAGCCUGAUGCAGCGACGCCGCGUGAGGGAUGACGGCCUUCGGGUUGUAAACCUCUUUCAACAGGGACGAAGCGAAAGUGACGGUACCUGUAGAAGAAGCACCGGCCAACUACGUGCCAGCAGCCGCGGUAAUACGUAGGGUGCGAGCGUUGUCCGGAAUUACUGGGCGUAAAGAGCUCGUAGGUGGUUUGUCGCGUUGUUCGUGAAAACUCACAGCUCAACUGUGGGCGUGCGGGCGAUACGGGCAGACUGGAGUACUGCAGGGGAGACUGGAAUUCCUGGUGUAGCGGUGGAAUGCGCAGAUAUCAGGAGGAACACCGGUGGCGAAGGCGGGUCUCUGGGCAGUAACUGACGCUGAGGAGCGAAAGCGUGGGGAGCGAACAGGAUUAGAUACCCCCGUAGUCC
rnacentral:rRNA from 1 species